UAGGGAAUUAAAAUUUCCUUCAUGCCCAUGUCACUCUUCCCUUGAUCCGAUAGAUAUAAUUCUCUAUCAUCAUUUGGUUUGGAUAUCUUUCCAAAGUUUUGUAGUCUCAAAAUCAACAUGUGUGGCAACAUCAGGUCUCUUUCAGUUAGGGAGGGACAUGAACUUGUUAUCCUAGCUUUGGAAUCAAGGAAUGCCUUAAUUUUGCAGAUUCUCCUAGUGGGGGAUUGCCAGCCCCCUACCUUACAUUGUUAAAAGUUCAUGAUUGCCUUCGUCUCAAGUCACUUCCUGAAAACAUGGAUACUCUCCUCCCAUCUCUUUGAAUUUUGGAUAUCACAAACUGUCAACAAGUUGAGUCUUUUCCAGAAGGGAAGAGAAGUGCUUUCCUGAGGAGGACUUCCACAAGUCUUAGCACUCUUCCUAUAAAGGAAUUUCAAAAUCUGAGAUCCCUAGACAAGAAGGGCCUUCAACGCCUUACCUCUCUUCAAUUAUUGUUUAUCUCAAACUGCCCCAGACUAAAGUAGAUGCCGAAAGAUGGGAUUUCUUGUCUCCAUUCUAAGCUACAGUUUCGUCAAUGUCUUGCCUAGAUAAAAAAUUUCCAAAAAAUAGAAUAAAAGUGUGGCGCAGGAUUGCUUACAUCUCUAUCAUACAAAUCAAAGAUGAAGUCUCAUUAUCUGAGCCAAAAGUGUAGAUGAGAUCAAAAACCACUUGACAAUAAGUAGCAAGUGCCACAAAAGGCUUGGUCAAAUACAUUCCAGAAGAGCAGUUGACAAAACAAUUGCCAAGGAAGAAGGGAAAAUAGGGGGGAAAGAUUGGUCACAUCUGCUGCAUAAAAAUGGAUGCCCCAACCCAAAUUAGAUACAAGCUUGACAUGCAAGUUGGUGAUAUAAUAGAACAUGCAAAUUUUGUAGUAUUUGACAAGGAAGCAGAGAAGUUAUUUAAAAUUCUGGAUACGAAACUCUCCAAUAUGGAAGAAGAGGAUUUAGAUGGUUACAAUAUUAUUCCAAAUAGUAUCGAUGCAUUAUUGGAAAACCUACAUCUUCUAAGUGAAAUUUACUGCAUACAGUUUCUUUGUUUGCAACCAAAGCUUUACGGUAACUAGAGUCUUUGAAAUUGAAGGAAAUGAACAAUUACAGGAAACAACAACUAAGAAUGGAAAUGAAGUAUCCAAAGAAACAAUUUGUGCUGAAGUAAAGAAAAGAAGAUUUUUGAAGAAAUAAAUCCAAAACGAGAAUGUGGAAGCUCAAAUAGAAGUGUAAAUGAUUAACGAACAUAGAAAAUAUUUAAAUGAAACUUUGAAUAUUUAGACUUCAAAUCAGGUCGUGAUGUUGUGCUUUCUGAUAGAAGAAUAGAUACUUCAGAGCCUAACGACUAGUUUCAGCUGACGGUCAUAUUUUAACUCUGCAGCAAAACGGCACCGUAUCUCAACGGUGACGUUUUGGUUUUAAAAAGAAUUCUUUCAGUCAAGCUAUACGACAUCGUUUAGCCUUGGAGCUUCAGAGUCAGUGUUAGCAUCUUCUUCAAAGGAUUAGCUGCUAAGAUAUUUUUUUGUAAUUAGAUAUUUUCUGUUAAGAGCACAUUAAUCACGUGUAAAUAGAGUGUAACUAAUUCCAAGCUUUAUGGAAUUAUUGUUAGUUGGUUAGAUUAGAUUUAAGCUUAUCUCUUGCUCUAUAUAUAGAGAACUAUACACAUUGUAUUAUUCAGUUAGUAUUGCUAAUAUUCAAUCAAAUAGAUUUUACUCUC